CAGUCGCCACGGGAAUACAGAGGGUGCGAGCGUUAAUCGAAUUUACUGGGCGUAAAGCGUGCGUAGGCGGCUUCUUAAGUCGGAUGUGAAAUCCCUGAGCUUAACUUAGGAAUUGCAUUCGAUACUGGGAAGCUAGAGUAUGGGAGAGGAUGGUAGAAUUCCAGGUGUAGCGGUGAAAUGCGUAGAGAUCUGGAGGAAUACCGAUGGCGAAGGCAGCCAUCUGGCCUAAUACUGACGCUGAGGUACGAAAGCAUGGGGAGCAAACAGGAUUAGAUACCCCUGUAGUCCCUGUCUCUUAUAC
rnacentral:rRNA from 1 species